rnacentral:lncRNA from 1 species
CCCUGAUUUCCCAUGUUCUGUCUCCUUCACCAGGACCCAUGUAAACUUGCAGCUCAACAGCCCACUUACUGCACAUACUGACCAUCACCCUGAGAUGCUGGGGCCAUCUGUUCGGCGUGACGCCAUUCCUGGGAAGAUGUGAAGGGAUGUGUCUAUCACCUCAUAUGUGAAGUUGAAGACACGAUUGCUCUGCCUUCCUCCCUGGCUGUCUGUGGCUGCACCUCCCCCAAUGCUAUGGAGUCUUCCUCUGGUACCACAAGCCCAC